rnacentral:rRNA from 1 species
UACGUAGGGUGCGAGCGUUAAUCGGAAUUACUGGGCGUAAAGCGUGCGCAGGCGGUUCUAUAAGACAGAUGUGAAAUCCCCGGGCUCAACCUGGGAACUGCAUUUGUGACUGUAGAGCUGGAGUACGGUAGAGGGGGAUGGAAUUCCACGUGUAGCAGUGAAAUGCGUAGAGAUGUGGAGGAACACCGAUGGCGAAGGCAGCCCCCUGGGUCAAGAUUGACGCUCAUGCACGAAAGCGUGGGGAGCAAACAGG